CCACACUCGACGCCGAAAGGAGGCCUGUCAUAGGGAGGCGUACAAAAUGGCAUGUCGAUUCCCAAAAUACCAACGAUGCGAUCGUCGCCAGCCUCGAUGGACUUGGCCCAGAGACCUCUGCGCACGUGAUCGAGGAUCCAACCACGUCUCGCGGCUUCGGCCACGAGUUCGAAUCGGCCACUCGUCGUCCACACGGCCAGUGAGUCUUUAGUCGGCGGAUGGCACCCACCUGCAUCCACCGCAUAGGCCAAGGUCUCUGCCGAUCCGGGCACCUUGUUUGAGAUGAGGCCAGCAGGCAGAACGACCUUCCUCUCGCACAACCACCCAAGAGCACCCGGAGUGAGUGCCUUGAAAGCGCACAUGGCACUUGACUCCUCGUAAAUCGGAAGCGACGUGGCACCGCAAUGCCGUUCGAGCCAGUUGAGGGCGUGCACGGCGCUCUCGCCGAGCGCGGCAUCAAACAUGUCGGUGCAGUAGUGCCGCUCAGAGUCGGGCGGAAGAGCACCGACGAUCCAGUUGAGCGCAGCCACCGCGUCGCCGGCAGCCGCCUCGACAAAUAACCCACGAGCGCGUUCUUGACGUGCGCAGGCACACCCGAAUGUUGUGCUGUGGACGCACUGCGAGGGCAGCGACGACAGCCAGUCCAGCACGUCGACACGAUUCGAUCGCGCAGCCGACAGCCACAGGGCGCGAGGCUCGGCCAGGCCCCGAGCGGCAAGGCGCCGAAGCAAAUCGACCUCGGCGUGGCGCACGAGGUCGUCGACGUGGCCAGAGGCGACGGAACGCAAAAAAGCGGCUCGGCGCGGCUGCUGCCAUUCGUCCUCCGUCUCCAUGGCGUUGCACAGCGUCGCAAUCUUGCCUGCCUUUGCAGCGCACCACCAUACAAGGCGAUCCAUGGUAUCUGCGCCUCGGUCGGGAUCAUAAAAGAACCGGACGGUGACGUCGUUCAUAUCGCCGGCCCGGCCGUGGCGACGCGCACAAAUCGUCGGUCGUGCCGUGCGCUCGACGCAAGUCCACAACAGAAAAGAAGGCGAAACAUCGGGCGCCGCCGCACCGAUAAACAUGUGGCCGUGGUGGAUAAAACCCGGCCCAGACCUGCAGGCGAGCGCGUGUGCACGCAGAGCCCACGGGACCAUUUUAGAGGCUUUUCCAUGCGUGCGCCCGCUUACGAUCAUCGCUGUCUUGAUCGUCGCUGUGCUCUGGCUGCGACGGUCAGCACGGGACAAAAUGGCAUACCAGCGCCUGCAUACACGAGCGGCUACCGGUCGCCACCAAGGGUCAACGUGCGCCG
rnacentral:lncRNA from 1 species